rnacentral:lncRNA from 1 species
CCAGAUUGAAAAUUUCUUCUUUUCUUCUCCUGCCCCCUCUACCAUUGCUUUGUUGCUUAGAUUUUGCUAUUAGGAAUUUAGGGUUUAAAUGGGAACUGAAAAGAAAGGGGUUUUAGCUAUCUACACGGUUGAGGAGAAACGCUUAUGUUUAGGGAUUUUGUUCUUUUUUGACAAAGAGAAAGCACAAAAGGAAUUUCAAAAACCUUAUCUGCUUUAGUAGCGAAGCUCCUUUAAUUUGGAGAUUUUAGGCGGAGAAAUU